CGAACGGAUUUAAGGGGCUUGCUCUUUAAGUUAGUGGCGAACGGGUGAGUAAUAUAUCGGAACGUACCGUGUAAUGGGGGAUAACGUAGCGAAAGUUACGCUAAUACCGCAUACGCUCUUCGGAGGAAAGCAGGGGAUCUUCGGACCUUGCGUUAUACGAGCGGCCGAUAUCUGAUUAGCUAGUUGGUGAGGUAAAGGCUCACCAAGGCGACGAUCAGUAGCGGGUCUGAGAGGAUGAUCCGCCACACUGGGACUGAGACACGGCCCAGACUCCUACGGGAGGCAGCAGUGGGGAAUUUUGGACAAUGGGCGAAAGCCUGAUCCAGCCAUUCCGCGUGAGUGAAGAAGGCCUUCGGGAUGUAAAGCUCUUUUGUCAGGGAGGAAAUCCCUAAGGAUAAUACCCUUGGGGGAUGACAGUACCUGAAGAAUAAGCACCGGCUAACUACGUGCCAGCAGCCGCGGUAAUACGUAGGGUGCAAGCGUUAAUCGGAAUUACUGGGCGUAAAGCGUGCGCAGGCGGUUUCGUAAGCUUGAUGUGAAAUCCCCGGGCUCAACCUGGGAACUGCAUUGAGGACUGCGAGGCUAGAAUACGGCAGAGGGGGGUGGAAUUCCACGUGUAGCAGUGAAAUGCGUAGAGAUGUGGAGGAACACCGAUGGCGAAGGCAGCCCCCUGGGCCUGUAUUGACGCUCAUGCACGAAA
rnacentral:rRNA from 1 species